GGCGGACGGGUGAGUAAUGCUUGGGAAUAUGCCUUAUGGGGGGGACAACAGUUGGAAACGACUGCUAAUACCGCAUGAUGUCUACGGACCAAAGUGGGGGACCUUCGGGCCUCACGCCAUAAGAUUAGCCCAAGUGGGAUUAGCUAGUUGGUGAGGUAAUGGCUCACCAAGGCGACGAUCCCUAGCUGGUUUGAGAGGAUGAUCAGCCACACUGGGACUGAGACACGGCCCAGACUCCUACGGGAGGCAGCAGUGGGGAAUAUUGCACAAUGGGCGCAAGCCUGAUGCAGCCAUGCCGCGUGUGUGAAGAAGGCCUUCGGGUUGUAAAGCACUUUCAGUAAGGAGGAAAGGUUAAGUGUUAAUAGCACUUAGCUGUGACGUUACUUACAGAAGAAGCACCGGCUAACUCCGUGCCAGCAGCCGCGGUAAUACGGAGGGUGCGAGCGUUAGUCGGAAUUACUGGGCGUAAAGCGUAC
rnacentral:rRNA from 1 species